GACACGAAAAAAUAACACUAUCGGAGAUGACCCUGAAAAAAAAGGUCCUCUGUAAUCGGCAAAAUCAGUAUGUAUCACAAUUACAUAAGGAAAGUAGGUAUGCACACAUUGAGUUAGACACGAAAAAAUAACACUAUCGGAGAUGACCCUGAAAAAAAAGGUCCUCUGUAAUCGGCAAAAUCAGUAUGUAUCACAAUUACAUAAGGAAAGUAGGUAUGCUAAGUGUUAAUGGGGAUCGACGCCACAUGUAGCGUAUCCCAGUAUCAGCAUCUUAGUGUAAGAUGAAGUGGAUGGAAUUGGAAGAUGUUAUUGGACUGGACUGGUUAUCAUAUGGCUGCCCGCAAUGCCAGAAAUGAUUAAUAAAUGCAAGGGUAAAAGUACUAUGGAGAC
rnacentral:lncRNA from 1 species